rnacentral:lncRNA from 1 species
GGUUCACAGCGAGAGAAAGAUCUUGGGUGCGAUCCAAUGAUUGAGAUUCAAUUUGACUUAGAUCCAACAGUUGCUGUUUAUUGUCGGUUUAUAAGAGGACUCUUUUGUGCAAUCCGAUGGUCCAGAAGUGAUCCAUCAUGCGAUCCAACGGCUGAGGAUGCUCUCGACUUUGAAUAGGAGAUCAGAAGCACUGAUCGAUGGCU